UACGAAGGGUGCCAGCGUUAAUCGGAAUUACUGGGCGUAAAGGGUGCGUAGGCGGUUGUUUAAGUCUGUCGUGAAAUCCCCGGGCUCAACCUGGGAAUGGCGAUGGAUACUGGGCAGCUAGAGUGUGGCAGAGGAUGGUGGAAUUCCCGGUGUAGCGGUGAAAUGCGUAGAGAUCGGGAGGAACAUCAGUGGCGAAGGCGGCCAUCUGGGACAACACUGACGCUGAAGCACGAAAGCGUGGGGAGCAAACAGG
rnacentral:rRNA from 1 species